CCUACGGGAGGCAGCAGUGGGGGAUAUUGCACAAUGGGGGAAACCCUGAUGCAGCGACGCCGCGUGGGUGAAGAAGCGCCUCGGCGCGUAAAGCCCCGUUAGCAGGGAAGUAAAUGACGGUACCUGAAGAAGAAGCCCCGGCUAACUACGUGCCAGCAGCCGCGGUAAUACGUAGGGGGCAAGCGUUAUCCGGAUUUACGGGGUGUAAAGGGGGCGCAGACGGCGAUGCAAGCCAGGAGUGAAAGCCCGGGGCCCAACCCCGGGACUGCUCUUGGAACUGCGUGGCUAGAGUGCAGGAGGGGCAGGCGGAAUUCCUGGUGUAGCGGUGAAAUGCGUAGAUAUCAGGAAGAACACCGGUGGCGAAGGCGGCCUGCUGGACUGCAACUGACGUUGAGGCCCGAAAGCGUGGGGAGCAAACAGGAUUAGAUACCCUAGUAGUC
rnacentral:rRNA from 1 species